rnacentral:rRNA from 1 species
AAUAGAUACCCCGGUAGUCCAUGCCGUAAACGUUGGGCACUAGGUGUGGGGCUCAUUCCACGAGUUCCGUGCCGCAGCAAACGCAUUAAGUGCCCCGCCGUGGGGAGUACGGCCGCAAGGCUAAAACUCAAAGGAAUUGACGGGGGCCCGCACAAGCGGCGGAGCAUGCGGAUUAAUUCGAUGCAACGCGAAGAACCUUACCAAGGCUUGACAUGCACGGGAAGCGACCAGAGAUGGUGGUCUCUUUGGACACUCGUGCACAGGUGGUGCAUGGUUGUCGUCAGCUCGUGUCGUGAGAUGUUGGGUUAAGUCCCGCAACGAGCGCAACCCUCGUCCCAUGUUGCCAGCGGGUUAUGCCGGGGACUCAUGGGAGACUGCCGGGGGUCAACUCGGAGGAAGGUGGGGAUGACGUCAAAUCAUCAUGCCCCUUAUGUCUUGGGCUUCACGCAUGCUACAAUGGCCGGUACAAAGGGCUGCGAUCCGUAAAGUGGAGCGAAUCCCAAAAAGCCGGUCUCAGUUCGGAUUGGGGU